UACGGGGGGAGCAAGCGUUGUUCGGAUUUACUGGGCGUAAAGGGCGCGUAGGCGGCCAGCGCAAGUCAGUUGUGAAAUCUCCGGGCUUAACUCGGAACGGUCAACUGAUACUGCGCGGCUAGAGUGCAGAAGGGGCAACUGGAAUUCUCGGUGUAGCGGUGAAAUGCGUAGAUAUCGAGAGGAACACUGCGGCGAAGGCGGGUUGCUGGGCCGACACUGACGCUGAUGCGCGAAAGCCAGGGGAGCGAACGGG
rnacentral:rRNA from 1 species